rnacentral:tRNA from 1 species
GGGGCUGUAGCUCAGUUGGAAGAGCGCUUGAAUCGCACUCAAGAGGCCGGGGGUUCGACCCCCCCCAGCUCCACCA